rnacentral:rRNA from 1 species
GCGCAGCAGUCGAGAAUUUUUCUCGAUGGGGGCAACCCUGAAGGAGCGACGCCGCGUGGAGGAUGAAGGCUUUCGGGUCGUAAACUCCUGUCAUUUGAGAACAAGUGGCCGAACAUAACUACUUCGGCCUUGAUAGUAUCAGAAGAGGAAGGGACGGCUAACUCUGUGCCAGCAGCCGCGGUAAUACAGAGGUCCCAAGCGCUGUUCGGAUUCAUUGGGCUAAAGGGUGCGUAGGUGGCGCCGUCAGUGGGGUGUGAAAUUCCGGAGCUUAACUCCGAAACUGCAUUCCAUACUGCGGUGCUUGAGGACUGGAGAGGAGACUGGAAUUUAACGGUGUAGCAGUGAAAUGCGUAGAGAUCGUAAGGAAGGACCAGUGGACGAAGGCGGGUCUCUGGACAGUUCCUGACACUGAGGCACGAAGGCUAGGGGAGCGAACGGGAUUAGAUA